UACGGAGGGUGCGAGCGUUGUCCGGAAUCACUGGGCGUAAAGGGCUCGUAGGCGGUCUGUUGCGUCGGUAGUGAAAACUCAGGGCUUAACCCUGAGCCUGCUUCCGAUACGGGCAGACUAGAGGUAUGCAGGGGAGAACGGAAUUCCUGGUGUAGCGGUGAAAUGCGCAGAUAUCAGGAAGAACACCAAUGGCGAAGGCAGCUCUCUGGGACGGUACUGACGCUGAGACGCGAAAGCGUGGGGAGCGAACAGG
rnacentral:rRNA from 1 species